rnacentral:rRNA from 1 species
CUUUCUUUGCUGGCGACCGGCGCACGGGUGAGUAACACGUAUCCAACCUGCCCUUUACUCGGGGAUAGCCUUUCGAAAGAAAGAUUAAUACCCGAUAGCAUAAUGAUUCCGCAUGGUUUCAUUAUUAAAGGAUUCCGGUAAAGGAUGGGGAUGCGUUCCAUUAGGUUGUUGGUGAGGUAACGGCUCACCAAGCCUUCGAUGGAUAGGGGUUCUGAGGGGAAGGUCCCCCACAUUGGAACUGAGGCACGGUCCAA